UCAGUUCGGACUGCAGGCUGCAACUCGCCUGCACGAAGUUGGAAUUGCUAGUAAUCGUGGAUCAGCAUGCCACGGUGAAUACGUUCCCGGGUCUUGUACACACCGCCCGUCACACCAUGGGAGCCGGUAAUACCCGAAGUCAGUAGUCUAACCGCAAGGGAGGACGCUGCCGAAGGUAGGAUUGGCGACUGGGGUGAAGUCGUAACAAGGUACC
rnacentral:rRNA from 1 species